rnacentral:lncRNA from 1 species
UUGAGUCCUACACGCCAGUUAUCACUUUCAUAUUUUCAAUUAACCGAUCCUAAAUUCACGUUACUGAAGAAAAAAGACAACUUUGAGAUCAGAAAAAACAGAGCAACAAUAGAUCGGAGAAGAAGAAUUCUCCAACGGCGAUGCAAAUCUGAGAUCGGACAAUAUCGAAGAAGAUCAACAGCAACUGCAAGAUCUGCAAUAUCAACAGCAACUGCAAGAUCAACACCAACUGCAAGAUCAGUAACCAGC